CUCUGGGCUGGAGCGAGGCUUUCCUUAGAGAAGCCAGUCCCCUUCCCCUUGCCCCCGCACUGCUGUCCCCCUGGGCCACGCUGCCCCCACAGCCUCUGCCUGCUGUGUGGAGGCAACGAGGGGCGGCCUGCUGCUGGUGGAGGCCGGGGGAGCGGCUGCUCUGGCUAGGAGUGGGACAAUUAAUGUCCUCCGUCAGGGCGGCAAGUCUCCAGACUUUGAGAAACAUCCCGGGGUUGGGCCGUGCCUGCCUGUUCCUGCAGUGGCUGAAAUACAGCCUUAUCCUGAGGGAAAUGGCGGUGAGAGGCGGCUGCCGGCUGGGAAAGGGGGGAGGCCUUGUGGCUGCGGAGAGCAGGAGCUGCUGCCGGCUGCUGUGGUGCGAAACGAAGAAGCACUUGUGUCCUAACUUCUUCAGGAGCUUAAAAAGACCUUCCUCUUGCUUCAGAGAUAAGAUUUCAGUGUAUGAAGAUCCUACUGGUGAUGCAAUUUUUCUGAUAAAUUCCAUGAGAGCUGUGCUAAUUGGACUCAAAGGAAAUGCUUAGUUUAUAAUAGCAAAUGAAGAAUUCAUUAAAUUCUAGCAAGGAAAAAAGUCAAGCAAUGGAACUGGACAUUAUUUUUUGAACACGUCCUCCCUUUCAAG
ensembl:lncRNA